AUUGAACGCUGGCGGCAUGCCUUACACAUGCAAGUCGAACGCGAAAGGGGGGGCAACUCCCCAAGUAGAGUGGCGAACGGGUGAGUAAUACAUCGGAACGUGUCCAGUAGCGGGGGAUAACCUCUCGAAAGAGAGGCUAAUACCGCAUACGUCCUACGGGAGAAAGAGGGGGAUCGCAAGACCUCUCACUAUUGGAGCGGCCGAUGUCGGAUUAGCUAGUUGGCGGGGUAAAAGCCCACCAAGGCGACGAUCCGUAGCUGGUCUGAGAGGACGACCAGCCACACUGGAACUGAGACACGGUCCAGACUCCUACGGGAGGCAGCAGUGGGGAAUUUUGGACAAUGGGCGAAAGCCUGAUCCAGCCAUGCCGCGUGAGUGAAGAAGGCCUUCGGGUUGUAAAGCUCUUUCGGCGGGGACGAAAAGGUCCGUGCUAACACCAUGGAUCCAUGACGGUACCCGCAGAAGAAGCACCGGCUAACUACGUGCCAGCAGCCGCGGUAAUACGUAGGGUGCAGGCGUUAAUCGGAAUUACUGGGCGUAAAGCGUGCGCAGGCGGUCUGCUAAGACAGGUGUGAAAUCCCCGGGCUUAACCUGGGAACUGCGCUUGUUACUGGCAGGCUGGAGUGUGGCAGAGGGGGGUG
rnacentral:rRNA from 1 species